rnacentral:rRNA from 1 species
CACGUAGGGUGCGAGCGUUGUCCGGAAGUAUUGGGCGUAAAGAGCUCGUAGGCGGUGUGUCGCGUCGGCCGUGAAAACCUGCAGCUUAACUGUGGGCUUGCGGUCGAUACGGGCAUCACUGGAGUUCGGCAGGGGAGACUGGAAUUCCUGGUGUAGCGGUGAAAUGCGCAGAUAUCAGGAGGAACACCGGUGGCGAAGUCGGGUCUCUGGGCCGAUACUGACGCUGAGGAGCGAAAGCGUGGGGAGCGAACAGG